GACGAACGCUGGCGGCGUGCUUAACACAUGCAAGUCGAACGGUGAAAGGGAGCUUGCUCCCUGGAUCAGUGGCGAACGGGUGAGUAACACGUGGGCAACCUGCCCCAGACUUCGGGAUAACGCUUCGAAAGGAGUGCUAAUACCGGAUGCGAACUCCUUGGGCAUCCUUGGGGUUGGAAAGUUUUUCGGUCUGGGAUGGGCCCGCGGCCUAUCAGCUUGUUGGUGAGGUAACGGCUCACCAAGGGGACGACGGGUAGCCGGCCUGAGAGGGCGACCGGCCACACUGGGACUGAGACACGGCCCAGACUCCUACGGGAGGCAGCAGUGGGGAAUAUUGCGCAAUGGGCGAAAGCCUGACGCAGCAACGCCGCGUGAGGGAUGACGGCCUUCGGGUUGUAAACCUCUUUCAGCAGGGAAGAAGCGAAAGUGACGGUACCUGCAGAAGAAGCACCGGCUAACUACGUGCCAGCCGCCGCAGUAAUAC
rnacentral:rRNA from 1 species